rnacentral:tRNA from 1 species
GGCUCUAUAGUUCAAUGGAUAGAAUAAGGUCCUCCUAAGACUUAGAUUCGGGUUCGAUUCCCGAUGGAGCUACCA